rnacentral:rRNA from 1 species
GACCAGCCACACUGGAACUGAGACACGGUCCAGACUCCUACGGGAGGCAGCAGUGGGGAAUUUUGGACAAUGGGCGCAAGCCUGAUCCAGCAAUGCCGCGUGAGUGAAGAAGGCCUUCGGGUUGUAAAGCUCUUUUGUCAGGGAAGAAACGGCUCCGGCUAAUAUCCGGGGCUAAUGACGGUACCUGAAGAAUAAGCACCGGCUAACUACGUGCCAGCAGCCGCGGUAAUACGUAGGGUGCAAGCGUUAAUCGGAAUUACUGGGCGUAAAGCGUGCGCAGGCGGUUUUGUAAGUCUGUCGUGAAAGCCCCGGGCUCAACCUGGGAAUUGCGAUGGAGACUGCAAGGCUUGAAUCUGGCAGAGGGGGGUAGAAUUCCACGUGUAGCAGUGAAAUGCGUAGAGAUGUGGAGGAACACCGAUGGCGAAGGCAGCCCCCUGGGUCAAGAUUGACGCUCAUGCACGAAAGCGUGGGGAGCAAACAGGAUUAGAUACCCUGGUAGUCCACGCCCUAAACGAUGUCUACUAGUUGUCGGGUUUUAAUUAACUUGGUAACGCAGCUAACGCGUGAAGUAGACCGCCUGGGGAGUACGGUCGCAAGAUUAAAACUCAAAGGAAUUGACGGGGACCCGCACAAGCGGUGGAUGAUGUGGAUUAAUUCGAUGCAACGCGAAAAACCUUACCUACCCUUGACAUGGAAGGAA